rnacentral:rRNA from 1 species
AUGGGCGGCCCAGGCCUCUACUCCGGGAUCGGCAAGAAGGCCAAGGAUCUGCUAUACAGGGACUACCAGACCGACCACAAGUUCACCCUCACCACCUACACCGCCAAUGGCGCCGCAAUUACUGCUACCAGUACAAAGAAGGCUGAUCUUAUACUUGGUGAGAUCCAAUCACAGAUCAAGAACAAAAACAUCACUGUAGAUGUGAAGGCAAACUCAGCAUCGAAUGUCAUUACUACAAUUACCGCUGACGAUCUUGCAGCACCAGGGCUGAAGACCAUCUUGAGCUUUGCUGUUCCUGAUCAGAAAUCUGGAAAGGUUGAGCUCCAGUACUUGCAUGAUUAUGCUGGUAUUAAUGCAAGCAUUGGCUUGACUGCCAAUCCUGUAGUCAACCUCUCCGGUGCGUUCGGAACUAGUGCUCUAGCUGUUGGUGCUGAUGUGUCGCUUGAUACAGCCACCAAGAAUUUCACCAAAUACAAUGCUGCACUUAGCUACACUAACCAGGAUCUUAUUGCAUCCCUGAACCUGAACAACAAGGGAGACAGCCUGACCGCAUCCUAUUACCACAUUGUGGAGAAGUCCGGCACAGCUGUCGGGGCGGAGCUGACCCACAGCUUCUCGAGCAACGAGAACAGCCUCACCUUUGGCACCCAGCAUACCCUGGACCCGCUCACCCUUGUGAAGGCCCGGAUCAACAACUCUGGCAAGGCCAGCGCGCUGAUCCAGCACGAGUUCAUGCCAAAGUCGUUGUGCACCAUCUCGGCGGAGGUGGACACCAAGGCCAUCGAGAAGAGCUCGAAGGUCGGCAUUGCUAUUGCUCUCAAGCCUUGA